rnacentral:rRNA from 2 species
UGGGGAAUUUUCCGCAAUGGGCGAAAGCCUGACGGAGCAACGCCGCGUGAGGGAUGAAGGCCUCUGGGCUGUAAACCUCUUUUAUCAAGGAAGAAGAUCUGACGGUACUUGAUGAAUAAGCCACGGCUAAUUCC